AUGUUUGGGAUGCUUCAAUUCCAAAUCAAGCUUGUGCAGAGGUAGACCUCAGAUCCGCUGUCUGCACUUAGACAUCUUCCAAGAGAAACACCCGCCAACUCAAUCAUUGUCUGACUAAGAGACCCUGGAGUCCUCAGAUGGGGAAAAAGGAAAAGUUAAAUCAAGCAAUUUCAUACGUACCUGUGACUCAUUGUGAAACCUAAGCUGCAGAAAACUGACAGCAGGAACAGAGGAUGCUGACCUAAUUUGCCAGAACAAAGAAUAAAUGUGAACAUUACUUAAGAGGGACUUUCAUUUCUGCCUCCAUGAGAGUAUCUGAGGAAUUUUAAACUCCGUGGAACUUGAAUGCCAACAGCUCUUCAUCUGUUCACAUUAAAGAAAAUUAGAAGGAGGAGGAGGAGAGAAGAAAGUCCUAUCAUCAAGUUUAUUACUCCCAGGGUGGUCAGCUUUCUAUUUAAGGGAAUAUGCCCAAAUUUCAGAACUGGUUUAGUUUAUGCUCUGAAAAACAUAGGCAAUUAUUCACCUGCCUCUUACAUAUUUGUGUGUCUGGCUGUGACUUUCGAUG